rnacentral:snRNA from 1 species
AUCGGUUAAUUUAUUUUAUUCUGU